UACGAAGGGGGCUAGCGUUGCUCGGAAUCACUGGGCGUAAAGCGCACGUAGGCGGAUUGUUAAGUCAGGGGUGAAAUCCUGGAGCUCAACUCCAGAACUGCCUUUGAUACUGGCGAUCUCGAGUCCGGGAGAGGUGAGUGGAACUGCGAGUGUAGAGGUGAAAUUCGUAGAUAUUCGCAAGAACACCAGUGGCGAAGGCGGCUCACUGGCCCGGUACUGACGCUGAGGUGCGAAAGCGUGGGGAGCAAACAGGAUAGAA
rnacentral:rRNA from 1 species